ACAUUAAAUAAAAUAUUAAAGCGAUUGAGCGACUACAAGUUUUGAACCGGUACGAUCCUUUCGCCGUCAAGCCUGCGAGAAUACGCGACCGAUUGACAUUCAAUUGAAAUGAACCGUUUUCCGUUGUUAGGCUACCAUUUAAGUUGCCUCAUGCCUGACAGAUCUCUUGUUCGAUUGGCGCCUUUUGUGUUGACGGUUCGGUUGGUGGUAUAUUCGGCUAUCAUCGAAAGGUUUUACGAACACGUACACACGGUUCGUGGUUUAACAACAACCUCAUUUGAUUUUGCCGUGACAGCUGCUCGGAAUGGAAAACAAACUUGCGAAAGUGUGAGUGGAAAUGCAACGUGUACGUACACGUUCGAGGAAAGCCCAAUUCGUACCCGCGUUUCGUAUGCGCAGACUUUGGGCACAACUAUCAUCUGUACCCAUAAGAGAAGAACCCUAAAGCCCACGUUUGAGUUUAAUCUACCUGAGCAUGGAAUAAAACGAACCUUCUGAUCAUUCUUCAACAUCAAUACUUGCCUUGUGAUUAGGAGAAGCGGUUCAAGAAAAAUAUUUUAUCAACAAAGUGUGAGGCAUAUUUGCAUGUGCCUAGAAAAUUGUAAAUAAGUGAACUACAUGGCGGAGUUUAUCAUCGACUGGGAAAUUUGAAUAUAAAUAUGAAUGCGUCUCGUUUGAGAUUACGGCCAAGUGUCAAGCCAAAUAUGGAUAGAAGAAACCUGGAUGGAUCCGUAUCGCAGUCGUGGAAUAAUUUCAGCAUGUGCAGCCGGCCAAGCGUUGAGUGAAACAGGCCAAGGAAGAGUUAAGUUUCUUUUUACAAGAAUGAUUUGCUGAAUCACGGCGUUUUUUUGUGUCUUAAUGGCAUGAACUAAGGACGAGUUAUCAAUCUACAGAUAACCCUAAUCUGGCUGGUAUUAAUUUGAAGGUAUAAGCACCAACAAGCGCAGUGGGAGAUAUGACAAUUUGAAAUAUUCAUGCGAAAAGAAGUCGCCGAAACCGCUCUUCAUGUUUCUUUACAUAAUACGCGUCUGUUUCAAAUCCAAAUACGGAAAUUUUAUUCCGUCAUUUCAAAUUAGAUAAUCAUUUUUUCAAGAAACUAAAUUGUUCGUAUAAUACUUGAGAACAAGUAAAUCAGGAACUAUAAUUUUUCAAUAUUUUGUACUUCCUAUUCGUAUGAAAACAAUUAACAAAAGUAUUCUCAAGUAGAAUAAAUUCAUUCAAACUCUACUUGAUUUCGUUUCAAACAGAUUAUAAUUUUUAGAACAUAUUGGAUUUUAAAUGUUUCGUAGAGAAGGUAAAUUAUUUUAUUGUUAGUAUGAAAACAUAGCAAAAGGUUCAUUCUUUGACAGUCGUAUGCAGUUGAGAAUAGACUAACUUUCCUUAAAAAAAAACUAAGCAGCCAAUUAAUAGCUAGUCAAAUGUUCUAACAGUGAAUAUCUGGAAAAGUCUUGUUGUUUUAUUACUACAAAAUGUAUUCUUGAUAUUAAAAACAAA